rnacentral:rRNA from 1 species
CGGGUGAGUAACGCGUGAGUAACCUGCCCUGGAGUGGGGGACAACAGUUGGAAACGACUGCUAAUACCGCAUAAGCCCACGGCCCGGCAUCGGGCUGCGGGAAAAGGAUUUAUUCGCUCUAGGAUGGACUCGCGUCCAAUUAGCUAGUUGGUGAGGUAACGGCCCACCAAGGCGACGAUUGGUAGCCGGACUGAGAGGUUGAACGGCCACAUUGGGACUGAGACACGGCCCAGACUCCUACGGGAGGCAGCAGUGGGGGAUAUUGCACAAUGGGGGAAACCCUGAUGCAGCGACGCCGCGUGGAGGAAGAAGGUUUUCGGAUUGUAAACUCCUGUCGUUAGGGACGAUAAUGACGGUACCUAACAAGAAAGCACCGGCUAACUACGUGCCAGCAGCCGCGGUAAAACGUAGGGUGCAAGCGUUGUCCGGAAUUACUGGGUGUAAAGGGAGCGCAGGCGGACCGGCAAGUUGGAAGUGAAAACCAUGGGCUCAACCCAUGAAUUGCUUUCAAAACUGCUGGCCUUGAGUAGUGCAGAGGUAGGUGGAAUUCCCGGUGUAGCGGUGGAAUGCGUAGAUAUCGGGAGGAACACCAGUGGCGAAGGCGACCUACUGGGCACCAACUGACGCUGAGGCUCGAAAGCAUGGGUAGCAAACAGGAUUAGAUACCCUGGUAGUCCAUGCCGUAAACGAUGAUUACUAGGUGUUGGAGGAUUGACCCCUUCAGUGCCGCAGUUAACACAAUAAGUAAUCCACCUGGGGAGUACGACCGCAAGGUUGAAACUCAAAGGAAUUGACGGGGGCCCGCACAAGCAGUGGA